GGGGCGGGGCCUUGCUGGUCCUAAGAGAGCGGGCUUCUCCAGAAAGAGCCUCCGGGGCGGGGCCUCGCGGAACCUGCGGUGGGCGUGACCUGGCGGUAAAGGAGCUGGAUUCCACGUGGCUCCCCCGGGUCCACGUUCCUGCCCGCCCGCGCCCUGGCACGGGGCGGCUUCUUCACUGUGCGUCCGAGGGAGGCGUCGGCAGAAGUCCCCAUGCAGUGAGUUACGCGUCGACGUCUUCACCUCUGGCAUGGACCAUCCGCAGUGGAGACAGACACGGCUGCCCAGCAAAGCGCUUCGGGAACACGAGCGGGGCAAGCGGGUGGACUCAACGAGACGCGAAAAAGCAAGUAUCAGACUGCCUUUUCCAUCCCUAAACGGAAUCAUCUGGAGAGGCAAGUGGUGUGUGUCAGCGACAACUAUUGUGGCAAAAGUGGGAUGUGAGUUGGGUGAGUGGCGGGCAGUGGGGAGUCAUCCAGGCCGGGGGUGCAGGAACAAAGACUUCAGGGGAGAUGGGCACCGUGUGUAGGGGGCCACCGCUGGGAUGGAAAUAAGACCGAAUAGUGAGGCUGGACAGGCACCCCCAUCACACCAGCGUGGCGGGCGCCAGAAGCCUGGCUAGGGGCUGCCAGUACCACCUGCAGGACUUGGCAGUACCCGCAAGGGGAUUAGCUCGGAAAGGGAAGGAGGCAAUGAGACUGCUACACUCACAAGGUGGAGUCAGAGCAGCCAGCUGGGAAAUGCCUUUGAAAAAUCUGCAAACCAGAUGAUUUUAACUUCAAAGGUGAAUUUCGGUCUGCCUUUAGCUUCCAAAUACCUACAGUAUCGCUGCAGGGAUCGUUAUGUUGUGAAGAUACUAAAAAAGCAAGUAUUCUCGGGAUGGUGACUUAAAUAAGAUCAUCCCUGGGGCUGGAAAGACAAUACGGUUCCUGCUUUGGUGUGGCUAACGGGUUCGCUCUCUGGCAUGAGCACUGCCCGGCGUGAUGCCCGAGUGCAGAGCCUUGGGCACAAAAGACAAACAAAACUGACCACCAUUUACCAGGGAUCCGACCAACACAGGGCCUCACACAGGCAACGCCUUUCCCGCAAGCCACAUGCGUGACCAAGAAACUCUUCUCUCGGGCAGCGCAGAAACUCCGUGCCAUUCCAUGUCGGACGCCAUCCACAGAUAAGAAAUCCCUAAAGUUGCUUUAUGUGACUCGUUGCCCCCACCCCACCCCCACCAGGGAUUUCAGCAGGGCAGCGGAAGCAACACACACGUAGUAUGGGGAAAUUUUCUUCAUUUUUAAUUUACAGCAGAAAGAAUAUAAAGCAUUCAGAAAACAUUUUCCAUAGUUUAAGGGCAAUUCAAAACAUUUUGCAUGGGUUCCAGCAGCUGAGUUCUUCGACAGAUCCAUUGAUUCAAUGAUGCUUCACAUGCACAAUUACAAAAAUAAAACUUACAAAAAAGAAGACAUCUAGACUAGUUUCACAUGCAAGUCUCAGGGACCCCCCGUCGGGCGCCGACGACUGUGGUGCUGCCAGAAGGGACCGUGCAGCCAGAGGCAGAGAGGGGCUGAUGUCUUGGAUUCGCUCACACAGUUAACAGCUGAUUUCAAAUGGGUGACAGGAAGAGCAAUGACAACUUCAGGAGACAGAAGAAGAUUAGCGAGUCAUUUUUGAAAUUCGAAUGAAAUCCUACUCCUGGCACUUGGGAAUUCAGAUUAUCCAAAAAAAGCUGUUCGCCUCUCAGCUUCUAUUCAAAAUGAACAGUCACAACCCAGAAAAGGCGCUCACGGGCCCCCUGCCCUCACCUGGGAAUUCACAGCUGUACUAGUAGGUUUCAUGGGUAGGUCUGGAACCUACUUCUUUCUCCCCUCCCUCAGGACCCUCCCCCAUCUAGGUUAGUCUUUUUUUUUUUUCCCUUCCAGAAUUUUCUAACGUACUCAGCUAAUAAUGUAGCGUGUGACACAUUCAAAAGGAAAGAACCCCCAGAAAAUUAAAAAAAGAAAAAAAACAAAGAACAAAAAAAAAACAAAAACAAAACGAUGUGAGGGUUAAA